AAUAGUUAAAUACAUCCCCCCUUCUGAGUUCUCUCAUCUUAUGAAAGAUGUGGCCUGUAUGGGGGUUAAGGGUAUGCAUUGCUGACCCAGCUAUUUAUACAAAGAAUUUUAACACUGAUACAAAGCUAUUACAAAGAUAAAAGUAAGUUGAGUUUAAUUUCUGUUUUAUUAUUGUUAUUUUGAUAUUAUCAUCUACUAAAAUCUUUACAACUAAAAUUAAAAAUGAUCGAUUGUUUCUUUUUUAGUUUUGAUUCCGGCUGGAAUGUAUAUUAAAUUGAUUUUUGUAGGUUGAUACGAAUUGAUCGAUCUAAUAGUCUAAUUAUCUAAAUUCAUCCCAUUAAAAUUGUGGACUUGAACUCCCAUAUAUAUAGUACGUACAGUUCAUUUGGUUAAGCGUAUACUAUAUUACUAGAGCAUCUAUUUGGAUGAAGAAUUUUAUGUAUCAAAAUGCUUUAACGAACAAAUGAAAAUAUAUACUAGAUAUAUAUAUUGACAUUCGAUCAAACCCAUUAAUAAAUCCACGAAUGCUCCAUGUAGAAAAGCCAUACGUUUAAAACCCCUAAGACAACACGUCUAUGAGAAAAAGACGUGAGAGACGAUGCAUAAGUUAAGGCCUAAGAAUCUAACAUGGGCCUCUUUUGUCCACGUUUUUCUCUUUCUUUUCCUCUUUGCAUUCACGUUUUUUGGUAUCUCUUACAUUCUCCACGUUCAAGUGUAACCAUUAGAGAGAUCUCUCACUAAAGACAAGAAUCAUCUUAUAUCUGUUACGUUUUCAUGUGCCAAAAUUUAGGUCUGGAGUUUCUAUGGUAAAUAUCAGUUUGGGCAUCUGGUCACUAGACGUAUGGUCGAGAUUCUUAGAAAACUUCUUACUUGCCAAAAAAGUUUCCACUCCAAAAAUAGUCGGAAGUUACAAUAGACAGGGCACCGAAAAUCAAUAGGAAAAGUUGGAUCAUGGCUUCAACUACUAUUGUUGCAAACAUAUUAAUCUUUUUUUUGCCUCCAGCUUCCUAGUUGAAUAAUUGUCAUGGAUAAAUCCGACGACUCAAUAACAAUGCAGAACUAAGCUUCUCCAAAGGAAUUUAUAAACAUCUCUCGAAUUGAGUAUAUUAUAGAAAGAGUUAGGUUUUUGAAUGCUAGUAGCCAAAAAUGGAUUAGUAUGUUGUGUAUUUAGACCGUUCUAUUUUGUUGAAGGACAAUGAUUUGUAACUAUUUAAAACUUUUUUAUUAUCAAAUCUAUCCAACGUAUGUGAACUAUUUUCUUUUUUCUUUUGCUAUCCAGAUUUCAGAGUGAUAUAAACAAACAUCAUCGAAUCUAUAGGUAAUUCAACUAAUGUUCUAGAAACGAAGUUCUCGUUCGAUAGAAGUCCAUCUCGAUUUGGGCCUUCUUCGGGCCGUAUUUCGGCCGUGUUUGGGCCCUGACAUAAUUAGAUGCAGCGCGACCACUUCUCUAAGUUGAGCAGCCUUUGCGUUGACUGAGCCAUUUCCAUGUCACAAGGCCACCUGUAAUUACUCUGAAUCUCUGAUUGCGAUCGAGCGACUGCCUCUUCCACUGACUUGACAAAACAAUUUGUUGAAUCUGGAAAAUAAGUUUCUUGUACAGUAGUUUUUGUUGAAUAUAUAUACUCAAUUGUUGAUUUAGUUUUAGACUCUUUUAGUAGUUUAAGAAGAGAUGCGAUUGCAAAGAUUGCUUACUUUUUCCUUUUGUAUGAUUUCGCAAUAGUACUGACUAGUGACUACUGACCCAAGUUCCGGGUUUGCUACCAUAUGUUCUCGAAGUUGAUUGGCAUAUUUGUAGUAGCUUAUUUUUCAUUUAUAAAGGAUUUUUAAUGGUUUUUUUUCUUUAAAAAGACACCUUUUUAGAGUUUUUCUUUCUUUUUAAUGAAACGAAAAAAAAGUUUGCAUUAUGUAAUGGG
rnacentral:lncRNA from 1 species